rnacentral:rRNA from 1 species
CGCCUAUUUAUAGACGGCGAGAGCUGCUAAUCUCUCAGCCCCAGGCUUCAACAUCCACAGCAGAACAGCAAGGGACACACAGACACAACUCAACCACCUCCUUCUUGCCCCCUGCGCGCGCACGCACACGCACCGUAGCAGCUGAGCUAGCAACCAUGUCGCCCUCCAAGGGGGAAAUCGCGGCAGCCGGCGGCGACUCCGCGGCCGGAGGGUCGUCGUCCUGCGGCGCCAGACCCGUGGCCGUGGGCGUCGCCGAGGAGAAGACGGAGGAGGCGCGCGCCGGGCGGGAGGCGGAGAAAGCGGAGCUGGAGAAGAAGAUCGCGAGCACCAAGGAGGAGAUCGCCGCCCUGGAGGCUGCGCUGGCCGAGACGGACGCCGUUGCCGGCCCUGAGCCCUCCAAGCCGUAAUCUACCGACUGGUAACGCCGCCGCACGUUCCCCGGUGAUCUCCGUGCGCUUCGCCGGCCGUACGUUCGAGGUAGCUGGUAGCCUUCAUUCAUUCGAACUAGGAGCGGUACGAAGUUUGGUUGUCUGAAUGUAAUGCACUGGCUGGCACUGGCAGACUGACAGUGGCUUAAUUUUGCUAGUAGAGUAGUAAAUUGAUGAAUGAUUAUGCUAGUACUUGUAUUUUGGUGGGACGAAUGAAUCAACGAGGAGCAAAAUCUUGCC